rnacentral:pre_miRNA from 1 species
AAAAAGACAAACUCUAGGUUUCUGUGUCCAACUUUGAUUGUCCGUCUUAUAUGAAAUAUUUUUAUAAUUUGUAUUUUCAUUGUUGUUAGAUGAUAAAACAUGAUUAAUAUUUUAUGCGUGACUUGUCUUUUUAAUUUUUUUCAUAAUUUUUUUAAAUAAGACGGACGGUCAAACGUUGGACACAGAAACCAGGGUUUGUCUUUUU